rnacentral:RNase_MRP_RNA from 2 species
UAGACCAUGAAUUGAUGUGAAUGGGUCCAUGCCUUUAGCUGGGCUCAGGAAAGUCCCCGAGCCUUCUCUGCAGAAAUGUAGGCCUGGUAACGGGUAAAUCUUCGAGCUUGGGCUUGCUUCAUACUUUGGUGUGAGGGCUGAGACACGUGUGUGGAGCCUUUGCAAGUCCUGCCGAAGAAAUUUGGCUAAUUGUUACAGUCAUUCACAUGGUUGUUCGCAACUUACAGAACGGGGCUUAUGUCUUCGUGGUCU